GAGUUUGAUCCUGGCUCAGGACGAACGCUGGCGGCGUGCUUAACACAUGCAAGUCGUACGGGGCAGCAAUGCCCAGUGGCGAACGGGUGCGUAACACGUGAGAAAUCUGUCCAUCGGCGGGGGAGUAGCCGGCCCGAACGGCCGGGUAAGUACCGCGUACGUCGGCGGGGGCGGCAUGCUCCUGCCGGGAAAGGACAGCAAUGCACCGAUGGAGGAUCUCGCGGCCUAUCAGCUUGUUGGCGGGGUAAUGGCCCACCAAGGCGACGACGGGUAGCUGGUCUGAGAGGAUGAUCAGCCACAUUGGGACUGAGACACGGCCCAGACUCCUACGGGAGGCAGCAGUGGGGAAUAUUGCGCAAUGGGCGAAAGCCUGACGCAGCGACGCCGCGUGUGGGAUGACGGCCUUCGGUUGUAACC
rnacentral:rRNA from 1 species